CCACGAGGAGGGCGUACUGUCCACACCGCUGCAUGUGACCCUUGACGACUGGCGGAUACUCUGCGAGAGAUUUUUAUCUGAAUCUUUUCAGAAAUGAGCAGAAUAAAUUCUAACAACAGGGAAAAGUUAGAAGUGAACCACGUAGCUGGUUCAAAGUCAUUUGUACAACUUCGUCACGACAUGCGAGAUUCUGUCACUGGCCAGGAGCCCAGACUAGUAGACCUCUACAGAGGGACUCACUGUCGGUAGGCGAUGGGAUCUUGGGUACAUCCUAGAGCCAGCAAGAAUUGGGUAAAAAUCCUUACAUUAUAAAAUUUAAUUGCAUUGAAUUAUAAUAAUGUCAUUCAUUAUGAAAAUUUAUAUGUUUUCAUUACAGGCGGC